AAAAGUGAAACUGCAAAAUAUAACCUCAAUUGCCACGAAGUUGAAGAAGUGUGAGAGUAGGCAGAAUCCAAAAUGGAUUACAGAGAGUCAAACAUAAUCCAAAAUGGAUUACAGAUUAGUGGAAUAAAGACAAUGCUCACAAAGAAAUCAGACAAAAUGAGUAGGCCUUCUUCAUAUAUAGCUGUUCACAUUCAACUGUUUUCUCCUUCUAGGCGUUACAUAAGUUUCUUCUCUUUUUUCAGGUUUGGUAAUCUUGAAGCUUUCCUUCAAUUUUACUAUUGUGCGUAAGGUGUUGAAAGGAAAUGACUCGCACUGGUGAAACUUCUGAGGGCCAUGAAUCUGAAGGUAUUGAUACGACGAUUGAGAUAAAAGUAAAAACUAUGAAUUCUCAAACCCACAAUUUGCGCAUUGGCAGUCAGAGGAAAGUAUGGAACUUGAAAGAACAGGUGUCUCUUUUGAUAGGGACGCCAAUGGAACAACAGCGUCUAAUCUAUUGUGGAAAAGUCUUACAGGAUGAUGACCUCCUUUCUUCAUACAAUAUUGAAAGUGGUGAUACUUUGCAUCUGAUUUGCACCGUCCAGAGCAUGUCAACCUUUGGUAAUUCACCCUGUUGCCCAGGUGCUACUGAUAGGAUUUCUCCCAAUACUCAACAGGAAAUCCCUAACUCUAUAGAAACUUUGUCACGAUAUCUCAACCGAAUGAGACGAGGAUAUAAUAUAAACGGAACAGAAAACAAUACGAAUGAGGUACUCGGAAGUGCAUCCAAUACUUUCACUCCUUCACAAGGAAUUCCAGAAGUAGAACAAUUAGCAAGACUGCUGUCUUCCACUAGGGAUAUGCUUAUUAGCCAAACUGCACAGCGCUUUCUUGAAUUGGAAAGGGAUCUGCGGCAAAAUCUGAACAUGAGUGAUCCGAGGGUGCGCCAGGGAACCCAGUUAAAUGCACAGACAACAGUCGGAACAGUGUUUAACAAUCUAGGCGCAUAUUUUCUUGAACUUGGCCGCACAAUGAUGGGGGUCCGAAUGGGUGACAAUGGGAGUACUGCCGUAGUUAAUGCUGGCCCUGCAGUCUAUAUAACCGACUCGGGACCACUGUCCAUCCAGGAAGAACUUUAUUCUGUGCUGCUCUCAACAAUACACAGGCUGAUCAACUCUGGUUUAGUAAAUGAUAAUGGUACGCGGCUGCACCAGAGGCAAGUUGGUACACAAAUGAUAGGAGGUUCGUUAGGAAGACAAGCACCCAAUAUGCUACGAGUCAGAUACACUAGAUACUUUCUUAGACCCAUAGUUGCCACAGCUGAUCAAACUGAAGCUCAAAUACUGCCACCAGGAAGUGGCGUACCAACGGAAGUUAGCCAACUUUUGAGAAGUAUGUUCCUCAGUGGUGAACUUCAAGCUGCUACACCUGCAGGUGCAACUGUUGAUAACGUUGUUGACAACUCAAGGAUAUUAGGUCUAUCUUCUGGACCAUCAAUUAUAGAACCAAGAAAUGCUCGUGAAUCAGCUGGUGAACCUGCUAAUGAAGAUGUUGGGACAUCUCAUCGACGAACAGCUGAUUUUGCUGAAAGCUCAUCAACAAAACGACAAAGGGGAUGCUCUUGGUAAAUUCCAUAUUUGAUGGAAAAAGAUAUGCUGGAUGGAGAAGAGGAGUUCUCAUUGCUUUGUCUGCUAAAAAUAAAAUAGGCUUCAUUGAUGGAAGUUUUGUUGAACCAAUAGGCACUUCAACUCUUUCAUAAGCCUGGAAUCGGUGCAAUGACAUGGUGAUUUCUUGGCUGCUCAACUCACUCUCCAAGGAGAUAGUAGAGAGUGCUAUUUAUUCAAAGACUGCUAAGGAUCUUUGGACAGAAUUGGAGGACAGAUUUGGCCAAUGUAAUGGGGCUCAACUAUAUCAACUACAAAAAGAGUUAAGUGAUUUAACUCAAGGUUCAUCAGAUGUAGCAGGGUACUACACAAAAGUAAAGAAAAUUUGGGAUGAAUUGGAUACCCUGAACACUUGUGUUCAUUGUAGUUGUACAUGCUCAUGUGGUGGCAAAGCUAAGUCACUCAAAUCUUACCAAGAUGGAAGACUCAUUCAGUUCCUCAUGGGACUGUAUGAAGCUUAUUCAAGUGUUAAAAGUAACAUCUUAAUGAUGUCUCCUCUCCCAACCGUGAAUCAGGCCUACUCACUUCUCAUUCAAAAUGGAAAACAAAGGGAGAUUCAUGUCACACAACACCCGGGAGAGUCUGCUUUCUUUACCACAAACAAGUUUGGAAACCAAAUACGAGGAAAGUUUGAAAGUAAGCAGAAGGGAAGCAAUGAGGGAAGGAAAAACAACCUGAUAUGCAGUUUUUGUAAGAAACCUGGGCAUACAGCAGAAAAAUGCUAUAGGAUUUCCUGCAGAUUUUAAGUUUACCAAGUCUAAGAAAUAUCAAGGAGUCGCACACAACAAUGCAACAUAUGCAAGAUCAGAGAUUCCAUCAGAAUCAGUCAAUAUUUUUGAAGGAGGUAACAAGUCUAUAACUCAGGAGCAUCUUAAUCAACUUUUUAACUUACUUCAACAGGUCAAAGCUGGUCAGAACGAGCAAAACUCUGAAGCCGUAGUGUCUGCCAACUGUGCUGGGCCCUUCAAUGAAGAGGCUUCGGGUUCUUGGUGAAGUCAAGAAAGGUCUAUACAUUUUGAAGUCUAGUCAGUCUAGUUCUAAGGAUAGAAAUCAAGAUUUUUCUCAGUUUAAGGUCAAUUGUAAGCAGCCCAGUAAUCCCGCAAUUUCUAAUUCAGUCUUCAAUUCUAAGAAGCUCGUAAAUGUUGCAAUUUCCAAUUAGUUCCUAGUCUUCUUAAAGGUCCACUGAUGUAAGCCUUUGGCACAAGCGUUUGGGGCAUAUGCCUUUU